UCGCCGCCGUUAGAUUUUGGCUUUAACCACCCACCCACCCCACAGAUUCGAAUGCGCGCGCUUUCAACACACAGACUGACCUUAGCAACACCCAAUAGGGUGGUGGGCGGGUAGUUUUAUCGGUCUCGCGUUGGCCCUGACCUCUGGUUGAGAAAAUGCGCACCAGAGUUCUUCUUCUUCUUGUUCAAGAAGAAGAAGAAGAAGAAGCAAAAGAAAGAAGAAAUAGCCUUCGGCGUGGCUGGCCAUUUGAUGUGGGGGAGUGGCAGGUCCACUUUGUUGAGAAGGGUGGAUUUAACUGAACAAAGAUGGAGGAGGAGGAGGAGGAGGAGGGUUGGCUCUUUUGGGCCUAGACCAAAUAAAUGGGAAACGAAAACAAGAAAGAGAAAAAAAAAGUUUUGAAGAAUGGAAUGGUCAAAGAGGAAAUGGUGGACAACAAACCACCACCACCACGUUUCUUUUUACAACCAGCGAUAAAAAUGUCUCCACACACAGUCAACUUUUUUCCUUCGAGUAGGGAAGAAAAAAUAUAUAUUUAAAAAAGAAAUCUCUCUCCCCCUCUCCUGGAAAAAAAGAAAGAAAUUCGAGUCCCUUUCACGCUAACCCUCCCCACCUGACCCAAAGCGCAUAACCAAAAUGGGAGAAAUUGGAGAGGGGGGGGGGGGGGGGAGUCCAAGAUGGCGCGGAAAUUUUUUCGCGGUACAAGAAAGAAGAAGAAGAAGCCUUGUUGAGGAGUAUUUAUAACACUUCCAGCAAGCACCCUUUUCUUCUUCUUCUUCUUCUACACACACGGGCGUAUUAGUAACACAACACACCUGGCGCGGUGAUCAGGUUGCCUUUGAGCAGCGCACACGUCGUCGUCCAUCCUCGUUGGCUAAUUUGAUGGAUUUGACACGGCGGUAAAACGAGGGCCUAAUGAAACCUCCUACUCUCUUUCAACCGCCACCUACUACCGUUUGAGAACCAAGUCCAUCGAUCAAUUCUUCAACUUGAUUGACCAAUCGCUCUGUUAUUAUUACAUUAUUCAAGAAAAAUGAAACCGGCUGGUGGCUAUUAUUUGCUUUAUCUCACCCGACCGACUGACAAGAGAGACCGACCAACCGGAUAUUUAUUUAACCAUUUUUUCUCUCUUUCUUAUGUCGAGUGUGUGUGUGUGUGUCGGGCGUCUCUGUGUUUGGCACGCUCGUCGGGAGAAAAAGUGACAACAAGAACAAACAAGACAAAAAGGAAUGCCAGAUUUUUAUAUUUGUAUUUUUAUUCCUCUUUUCUUUUUUUCUUGUCUUGGAAAAUCAUGGAAAUACAAAACAAAAAUACGGAAAAUGGUUUUUUUCCCUUUUUCUUUUUUCUAUGUAUGUGUUUUUCUCGGUCUGUCCGGCAGCUGGUUGCCGUUGGCGCGGUCAUCAAAUACACACACGCACAGGCCAGCAGAGAGAAACACACCAAACAGAUUCUCUGAUAAUGUUAUCAGCAGCCAGAGCCCCUGCACUGCCGUAUAUACACACAAGGCAACAAACAUGGGGUUCUCCUAUCUCUUUUAGACUUUUCGAGCUGUGUAUAUAAGUUCGUUUCAGGUAAGGCCACAGCAGAGAUUAUCAAUGUCAGGUGAUGGAUCUUUUUUCUCUUCUUUUUUUGUUUCUACCACUGUAUAAACAUUGCGUUUUUAUUUUUAUGUGGAGAGAAAAGAGAAAAUUCGUAGACACACCUAGUUGGCCAUUCCACACCUAGAUGGCCAUAGCGCUCGGCGCCCAAAUUGAUAAUAAAUUCCGGUUAUAAAUUGUUUUUUUUUUUUGUUUUGUUUUCAAAAUAGCAUUGUUAUUAGUCGAAUAAUAUAUUAUGCAAAUACAAAUGGUGAGAAUCA
rnacentral:lncRNA from 1 species